GUAGAGUAAAUAUUGUGCGUUAAGUGUUAUGGAAUGGGAUGUUGUCCAUAAACGAAGGUAAUCCGCGGUACAAUAUUGCAUCCACUA
rnacentral:ncRNA from 1 species